UGAGGAAUAUUGGUCAAUGGGCGCAAGCCUGAACCAGCCAUCCCGCGUGCAGGAAGACGGCCCUAUGGGUUGUAAACUGCUUUUCCAGGGGGAGAAACUUGCGCACGUGUUGCGCGAUUGACGGUACCCUGGGAAUAAGCAUCGGCUACUCCGUGCCAGCAGCCGCGGUAAUACGGAGGAUGCGAGCGUUAUCCGGAUUCAUUGGGUUUAAAGGGUGCGUAGGCGGACUAUUAAGUCAGUGGUGAAAUCCUGCAGCUUAACUGCAGAACUGCCAUUGAGACUGAUAGACUUGAGUGUGGUUAAGGUAGGCGGAAUGUGUAAUGUAGCGGUGAAAUGCUUAGAGAUUACACAGAACACCAAUUGCGUAGGCAGCUUACUGAGCCGACACUGACGCUGAGGAACGAAAGCGUGGGGAUCGAACAG
rnacentral:rRNA from 1 species